rnacentral:rRNA from 1 species
ACGAACGCUGGCGGCGUGCUUCACCCCUGCCAGUCGAACGGAAAGGCCCCCUUGUGGGGUACUCGAGUGGCGAACGGGUGCGUAACACGUGAGUAACCUACCCUUGACUUUGGGAUAACUUCAGGAAACUGGGGCUAAUACCGGAUAGGAGCUCCUGCUGCAUGGUGGGGGUUGGAAAGUUUCGGCGGUUGGGGAUGGACUCGCGGCUUAUCAGCUUGUUGGUGGGGUAGUGGCUCACCAAGGCUUUGACGGGUAGCCGGCCUGAGAGGGUGACCGGCCACAUUGGGACUGAGAUACGGCCCAGACUCCUACGGGAGGCAGCAGUGGGGAAUAUUGCACAAUGGGCGGAAGCCUGAUGCAGCAACGCCGCGUGCGGGAUGACGGCCUUCGGGUUGUAAACCGCUUUCGCCUGUGACGAAGCGUGAGUGACGGUAAUGGGUAAAGAAGCACCGGCUAACUACGUG